UCGGACAUGGUGUAUGGUACACAGUCGUUUCUUGCGACAAGUAGAAGAUGCAAGAGGGAAUCCGGGGUUCGACUCCCCGUGUUCGAA